rnacentral:rRNA from 1 species
UACGAAGGGGGCUAGCGUUGCUCGGAAUCACUGGGCGUAAAGCGCACGUAGGCGGAUUGCUAAGUCAGGGGUGAAAUCCUGGAGCUCAACUCCAGAACUGCCUUUGAUACUGGUGAUCUUGAGUCCGGGAGAGGUGAGUGGAACUGCGAGUGUAGAGGUGAAAUUCGUAGAUAUUCACAGGAACUCCGGUGGCGAAGGCGGCUCGCUGGAUCUUUUCUGACGCUGAGGCGCGAAAGCUAGGGGAGCAAACGGG